rnacentral:rRNA from 1 species
GAUGAACGCUAGCGGCAGGCUUAAUACAUGCAAGUCGAGGGGCAGCAUGAGUGUAGCAAUACAUUUGAUGGCGACCGGCAAACGGGUGCGGAACACGUACAGAACCUUCCCUCGAGCGGGGAAUAGCCCAGAGAAAUUUGGAUUAAUACCCCAUUGUAAUACGGAGGGGCAUCACUUUGUAAUUAAAGAUUUAUCACUUGAAGAUGGCUGUGCGGCUGAUUAUGUAGUUGGCGGGUUAAUGGACCACCAAGCCUGCGAUCAGUAACUGGUGUGAGAGCACGACCAGUCACGAGGGCGCUGAGACAAGGGCCCGACUCCUACGGGAGGCAGCGGUAAGGAAUAUUGGUCAAUGGACGAGAGUCUGAACCAGCCAUGCCGCGUGGAGGAUGAAGGUCCUCUGGAUUGUAAACUUCUUUUAUAUGGGACGAAAAAAGGCUUUUCUAAGUCGUCUGACGGUACCAUAUGAAUAAGCACCGGCUAACUCCGUGCCAGCAGCCGCGGUAA